AAGUCUAAAGUCAUUCUUACAGUGAGUUGGUGGACGUUGUUGUGUCUUACUCUGCUCGUCAACAUGGCUCUUCAUCUCCGGGUUCUUCUCAUCUUUACUGGACUCACAGGAAUUCACAGCAUAACUACAGUCAGUGAAGUGUCAGUGAAGGCUGGAGGCUCCAUCUCUAUCCCAUGUCUCUAUGAGCUAAAGUACACACACCAUGUCAAAUACUUGUGUAAAGGAUAUAACUGGAAUUUCUGCUCCUACAAAGUUAAAACUGAUCGACCAGACAGUUCAGGAAAGUUUUCAAUCUCUGAUGACAAACAACAAAGAAUUUUCACUGUGACUAUUAAUAAUCUGAUGAUGGACGACACUGAUUACUGGUGUAUUGUGGAGAUAAAUGACGGGCCAGAUUACGGGAAAUAUUUUCAGCUGUCAGUCACCAAAGGUUGGCCCCAACUCUUUGUGGAUCAUCAGGAGAUUACAGGAUUUAAUGGAGAAGAUGUAACCAUCCAUGGUAACUAUAGUAACACUGGAGAGAUUGAGUGGUGCAGGCUGGGAGGGUCCUGUGUGAAGGAACCGUCUGGAUCAAUAGAUGGAACAAGAGUGACCAUUAAUGCAAAUGUCCCCAAAGUUUUCACUGUGACUAUGAGUGGACUGAGGACAGAGAGCAGCGGCUGGUAUUUCUGUACCAAAGGACUUCUACAGAUGCCAGUGCAUGUGACUGUUAAAGAGAGACCCAGCACUACUGAACCUGUGAAUCACACUGCUGUCUCUGCAUAUGGGGAACCUACCACAGUUCAGGGUGGGAACCACGGAGCUUUCAUCAUCCCUUUGAGUUUGUUGAUCUUCAUUGUAAUGGUGGCCUCGUUCAUCUGGUUCAUGUUGAGAAGACACACACCAGCAUCAGCUGCAACUGAGGUAAGAUAUGAUGAUUUAUAUUAUCUUUUUACAACAAAGGCUGUAAGGUUCCUCAGUAUAGAGCCAGAGCUGCUAUCAUCAUCCUUUGUGUUUACACUGCAGUGUCGGGCAAUCAUCAGAAGAGACACACACAUUCACACAUUAUAUGCAGGUGCUGAAUUAUAUAUUACUGCAGAAAAAGGUGAAAAAUACCUGCACACUGCAGGUGUGGUUAGAGAAGCAGGUUUGAAAGCAGUAGGUUAGAAAAAUAAAAGAGCAGCACUUGCUCCUCCCUUUUUACUAGCACUAAGGUUUCCUUAAGCAGAGCUCUUCCGUUUCAGUUUUUUGCAUUUACAGUUCUCACCCAACUCAACUUUAGAGAAAAAACUAAACUAAUAAUUACGUGAUUUAGCAAAAUAUAAUUCAAUUAAUUGACAAGAAACACACAAAAUGAACAGAAGAAUUCAUCAAAUCAGCAGACAAUAUGUUAACAGAAAAAACAAUACACUUAUAAAAGAAAAGAAAGAAAGAAUGAAUCAAGAACUAAUGAGACAUCAUUAAUUAAAUGUCAUGACAGUUUCUCUUUCCCUCAAAAAUGUGUACAUUACAGAUCUGUACCCUGUGACAAUACUGGCCAUGUUUCAUUUUUAGAAGAUACAGUUUAAAAAAGGUUGCUAAGAGAUUAUAGAUGACAGAGGACAGAGCAUAUUUACCACUGACAACAUAUAUAAGAUAUUUACAUAUAACUACACAUCUGGUAAUUAUUUAUAUGAUAUACUGAAUGCAUGUGAAGAGUCAUUAAUCAACCUUGAUAGUUUGCUGAUGAUCCCCAGUGACCAUUAACUUUACUGAGAAUGUCUAGAAUAUAUAGUUUGGUUUAGUGAAUUAUUCAACUGUAAUUCUACUGAUCAUGAUUUUUAUUGUUUUAAAAUUAUGUUUAUAUUCCAUGUUGGAUAUUUCAACAAACAUAUACAUAAUGCAAAUUGCUUCGUGCUGUUGCUUGUGCUUUGCUCCCUUUUCACAGGCAGAAGAGGAAGUAUCAUACAUUGCUGUGAAGCAUAAGAGAAAAACUCUUGUCAAGGUUGAAGCAGCAGAUGAGGAUGUUGCAUAUAGCACACUGGCUCAGGACUAAAUUAAGGUCAAUAUUAGGUCUCUCUGUAGCCUGUCUAGCCUUGAGGUUUUACAUCUGACAAGCCACUCAUGUAAAAGAAACUUUGAUUUAGUGUGACAAGUACAAGCUGGCAGUGUACAGCGCAGCUCUAGUAACAUCAUCAUAAGACUAAAAAGAGCGAGACAGUAGUUGAAACCAGCAGUGUUAUUGAAUGCAUACUUAACUUUGCAAUAAACUACUUCAGUGACUCAUUGGUCCAGCUGUCAAUAUCAGUCUGCAAGUUACUGAAAUCUGCACAUCUUGAAAUACAAUAAAAAAUCACUGAAAAA